GACGAACGCUGGCGGCGUGCUUAACACAUGCAAGUCGAACGAAGAGCGAUGGAAGCUUGCUUCUAUCAAUCUUAGUGGCGAACGGGUGAGUAACGCGUAAUCAACCUGCCCUUCAGAGGGGGACAACAGUUGGAAACGACUGCUAAUACCGCAUACGAUCUAAUCUCGGCAUCGAGGAUAGAUGAAAGGUGGCCUCUACAUGUAAGCUAUCACUGAAGGAGGGGAUUGCGUCUGAUUAGCUAGUUGGUGGGGUAACGGCCCACCAAGGCGAUGAUCAGUAGCCGGUCUGAGAGGAUGAACGGCCACAUUGGGACUGAGACACGGCCCAGACUCCUACGGGAGGCAGCAGUGGGGAAUCUUCCGCAAUGGACGAAAGUCUGACGGAGCAACGCCGCGUGAGUGAUGACGGCCUUCGGGUUGUAAAGCUCUGUUAAUCGGGACGAAAGGCCUUCUUGCGAAUAGUGAGAAGGAUUGACGGUACCGGAAUAGAAAGCCACGGCUAACUACGUG
rnacentral:rRNA from 1 species